UGGGGAAUAUUGCACAAUGGGCGCAAGCCUGAUGCAGCCAUGCCGCGUGUAUGAAGAAGGCCUUCGGGUUGUAAAGUACUUUCAGCGGGGAGGAAGGGAGUAAAGUUAAUACCUUUGCUCAUUGACGUUACCCGCAGAAGAAGCACCGGCUAACUCCGUGCCAGCAGCCGCGGUAAUACGGAGGGUGCAAGCGUUAAUCGGAAUAACUGGGCGUAAAGCGCACGCAGGCGGUUGAUUGAGUCAGAUGUGAAAUCCCCGGGCUUAACCCGGGAAUUGCAUCUGAUACUGGUCAGCUAGAGUCUUGUAGAGGGGGGUAGAAUUCCAUGUGUAGCGGUGAAAUGCGUAGAGAUGUGGAGGAAUACCGGUGGCGAAGGCGGCCCCCUGGACAAAGACUGACGCUCAGGUGCGAAAGCGUGGGGAGCAAACAGG
rnacentral:rRNA from 1 species